UGCAUCGGCCGGGAAGCGAACCCGGGCCACCCGCGUGGCAGGCGAGCAUUCUACCACUGAACCACCGAUGG
rnacentral:tRNA from 1 species